rnacentral:rRNA from 1 species
AGGAUGAACGCUGGCGGUAUGCCUAACACAUGCAAGUCGAACGGGUGUCUUCGGACAUUAGUGGCGGACGGGUGAGUAACGCGUGAGAAUCUGCCUUCAGGAUGGGGGACAACAGUUGGAAAACGACUGCUAAUACCCGAUAUGACGAAAGUUGAAAGAUUUAUCGCCUGGAAAUGAGCUCGCGUCAGAUUAGCUAGUUGGUGUGGUAAUGGCGCACCAAGGCGACGAUCUGUAGCUGGUCUGAGAGGAUGAGCAGCCACACUGGGACUGAGACACGGCCCAGACUCCUACGGGAGGCAGCAGUGGGGAAUUUUCCGCAAUGGGCGCAAGCCUGACGGAGCAAUACCGCGUGAGGGGAGGAAGGCUCUUGGGUCGUAAACCUCUUUUCUCAGGGAAGAACAAAUGACGGUACCUGAGGAAUCAGCAUCGGCUAACUCCGUGCCAGCAGCCGC